UCUCUCUGAAUCUGCGAACGGCUCCGCAAACCAGUUGUAAACAAAAGCAAGUCCCGCUCGGGUUGGCCUUCGGGCUGGCCUGGGCAACAUAUAUGGAUAACCGUGGUAAUUCUGAGGCUAAUACAUGACCACACAACCUGUCCGCUGGGCUCCUGCUCCUCUCGGGGGGCGGGUCGGCUCGGUGGCGGGGGACGUGCACCACAUGCUGGGGAUAAUCGGGAAAGAGCGCACGUUCGGACCACCGUUUGCGGGCCUUGCGUGGGUGAAGGUGCGGCUUGCCGUGCUGGAGCCUGCUUGGCCUGGUGGCCCUUGCAGUGUGCAUCUGACCUAUCAACUAGAUGGCAGCGUACGGGACAUGCCAUGGUGACAACGGGUACAGAGGAUUAGGGUUCGAUCCUGGAGAGUGGGCCUGAGAGAUU
rnacentral:rRNA from 1 species